GUUUUAUAAAAGCACUGAAUGAUGAUGACGAGAACAUCAUUUUCCAAGUGCUUCCCAAGUGGAAGCCACUGUCAAGGAUCAGGAAGCAGCCUAUUCCCACCUUUUCAGCGAGGAGACUGCUCUUUGUGGGGAGACUGACCAGCGCACACCUCAGCUCUUUUGGUUCAUAACAUGAAUGGAGCAAGAGAGGGGAUCCUCAGCGCUGGAAACCACAGGAACGCUGGAAGCCACACGGCUCUGGGUGUGCUCCCUGCACCGCAACCUACCAUCGAGAUGAAAUAGAACGAGUGGCCCCACCCCUCGGAGCCUGGACUUCCCUCUGUGGACAUAAGAGGCCCUCUGUGACACGCGGUCAUUGCUCCAGACGUGUGAUGGCUCAUUAUGGGGUCAGGAUUGUAAAAAGAGGCAAUGCAGUGUUUGUCGCAGGCUCAAACGAGGGGUACCAGCAGGGAGAAGUCUGAGGAGACGCUCAGAGCGGUAAAGGCCUCAAGGCCCCGUGACGAAGAACUUCUGAAGGGUGACACGCUCAGUGUGGAGGAGACACGGUUCAGAGGACAAUAAAGCUGCCUUUACUUCAGAAGAGCUGUCACAUGGGAACCAGCACAGGCCUCUUCUGGGAGGCCCCGCAGCCUAGAACCACAGCUGGUAUGAGAAAUCAUAGGGAGAGAUUUCUGCUCAGAGGAAGAAGUCUCUGGCAGCCAGCAUCUUCCAAAGCCCUGUACAGCCUAUGAAACAUUUUCACACAGUGCCUCACCCACAACUCUGGGAGUGUUUACUGAACAGAUUCAAUGCUCCAGUCACUGUGACAAUCAGCUGGGAUGCCAAGAUGCAUAAUACACAGUCUUGCCUUCAAGGAGUUGCCGGUCAGGCUGGGAAAUACAGAAAUGUUCAAGAACGAAUCACAAAGUGUAUCAAUAGUGCAAAAAUAAAAAGGUAUAUCAUGGAGAUUGCUCAGAGAUCCGGGGUGAUUAAUUCAGGCAGAGGAGUGGGAUGGUUAGAGAAGUCUUCCUGGAGGAGGUGACAUCCUAAGUAGGUUUGGAAGAAAGACCUCUAGUUCACCAGGCAGGUGGUGCUGGGAAGGUCUGGGAGGGAGAAGAUGGAAUUUCAGGGAAAGAAAGGGACAUGCACUAAGGCACGGAGGUUUGGAACAGCAUGGUGUAUUGGGGGGCCUAGAAGUAAGGCAGUGGAGCUGGGAGUUGAGUAAGGACCAGGAGUGAUGAGAGAUGGGACUAAGAAGGUCAGAAGGG
rnacentral:lncRNA from 1 species